rnacentral:rRNA from 1 species
CAUCACUACGCUAGAUGCAUAUCAAUAAGCGGAGGAAAAGAAACUAACAAGGAUUCCCCUAGUAACGGCGAGUGAAGCGGGAAGAGCUCAAGUUUGAAAUCUUAAAGGGUUUCCCUUUACGAAUUGUAGUUUAAAGAAGUGUUUUCUGUUGGAGUUUCGGUAAAAGUUCUUUGGAAUAGGACAUCAUAGAGGGUGAGAAUCCCGUAUUUGACCAGUUACUUUCCAGCUGUGUGAUACACUUUCAAAGAGUCGGAUUGUUUGGGAAUGCAGUCCAAAAUGGGUGGUAAAUUUCAUCUAAAGCUAAAUAUUGGCGAGAGACCGAUAGCGAACAAGUACCGUGAGGGAAAGAUGAAAAGAACUUUGAAAAGAGAGUUAAACAGUACGUGAAAUUGUCAAAAGGGAAGCGUUUGACACCAGUGCUGUUUUUCCGAAAAUCAAUUACGAAUGUUUUAUUUUUGAGGAGUUAUGACUUCAUCGGCUUGCUCCUUUCUUUAUGAAACUUUCUUAAUGCACUUUUCGGUUAACAAGUCAACAUCAAUUUCUUUUGUUGUAAAAGGGUAUGAGGAAGGUGGCUUUCUUUUCGGAGAAAGUGUUUAUAGCCUUGUGCCUCUGCAAUCGGAGAGAUUGAGGUCUGCAGCGUAGAUCCUUCGGGGUUAGAUACAUUUGUGCUAAGUUAUAGCUUUUCAUAGACAACUUGUUGACUAUGUUUAGUCAUUGUAGCUUACUCGCUUACGGCUAUUUUACCUACGCUUAGGAUGUUGAUAUGCAUGACUGAUAU